CAAACAAUAUGAGGACCUUGGGCCUCGUAGCACUGCUGCUCUUGCUGGCGUCCUGCGGCGCGCCUAGUGUUAAGAAUCAGAUAUGCAAACGCAAUGCUGGUAAAGUAAAGUGUCCAAAUGGCUUGUGGGCUUUUAACGAAAUAAAGAAGAAAUGCUUUCAUGUUGAAGUCACAAGCUACAAAUACUGCGGUAUGUUUUAUAAUAAAAAAGGAUGUGUUGAUUUUUGCAUAAAAGGUGCUUUCGGCAGUCGCAAGGUUAAUAAAUAACUUGAAAAUAAAAAUAAAAUGGACAAUUUCAGUAUAACAA